rnacentral:rRNA from 1 species
GAUGAACGCUGGCGGCGUGCCUAACACAUGCAAGUCGAGCGAUUUACUUCGGUAAAGAGCGGCGGACGGGUGAGUAACGCGUGGGUAACCUGCCUCAUACACAUGGAUAACAUACCGAAAGGUAUGCUAAUACAAGAUGAUAUAAGAGAUUCGCAUGGAUUUCUUAUCAAAGCUCCGGCGGUAUGAGAUGGACCCGCGUCUGAUUAGCUAGUUGGUAAGGUAACGGCUUACCAGGGCGACGAUCAGUAGCCGACCUGAGAGGGUGAUCGGCCACAUUGGAACUGAGACACGGUCCAAACUCCUACGGGAGGCAGCAGUGGGGAAUAUUGCACAAUGGGCGAAAGCCUGAUGCAGCAACGCCGCGUGAGUGAUGAAGGCCUUCGGGUCGUAAAGCUCUGUCCUCAAGGAAGAUAAUGACGGUACUUGAGGAGGAAGCCCCGGCUAACUACGUGCCAGCCGCCGCUGUAAAAC